GACGAACGCUGGCGGCGUGCCUAAUACAUGCAAGUAGAACGCUGAAGGAGGAGCUUGCUUCUCCGGAUGAGUUGCGAACGGGUGAGUAACGCGUAGGUAACCUGCCUGGUAGCGGGGGAUAACUAUUGGAAACGAUAGCUAAUACCGCAUAAGAGUAGAUGUUGCAUGACAUUUGCUUAAAAGGUGCAAUUGCAUCACUACCAGAUGGACCUGCGUUGUAUUAGCUAGUUGGUGGGGUAACGGCUCACCAAGGCGACGAUACAUAGCCGACCUGAGAGGGUGAUCGGCCACACUGGGACUGGGACACGGCCCAGACUCCUACGGGAGGCAGCAGUAGGGAAUCUUCGGCAAUGGACGGAAGUCUGACCGAGCAACGCCGCGUGAGUGAAGAAGGUUUUCGGAUCGUAAAGCUCUGUUGUAAGAGAAGAACGAGUGUGAGAGUGGAAAGUUCACACUGUGACGGUAUCUGACCAGAAAGGGACGGCUAACUACGUG
rnacentral:rRNA from 1 species